rnacentral:ncRNA from 2 species
GCCCGUUCGCGCGACUGGCGAGAGAGAUGGGGAACCAUCGGGGAACGCGAACCUCAGCAGAGCCGCUCGCCUGGGCACCCAUC